GCGAUCAUACCACCACUAAUGCACCGGAUCCCAUAAGAACUCUGAAGUUAAGCGUGCUUGGACGAGAGUAGUACUAGGAUGGGCAACCCCCUGGGAAGUCCUCAUGUUGUACCCC
rnacentral:rRNA from 1 species